GGCAGUCACACAGAGGGAUAAGUUGCUGUCUCUUUAAGCCAUACACUACAGUACCUUCUAGAGAAGGAAUGCACAGAGUAGUCGCCACACUCCCAGUAUAGGCAGCAGCAGCAGCAGCAGCGGCAGCACAGGGUUGUCUGGCUGCCUCCUCUGCACUGAGCUCCAUCUACAGCUGGAAGGAGAGGACCCGUCCUGUUAUCGGGGCGCACAGAGCGGUGCCAGUAAGGGGGCACGAUGAGCCAGUUGCACCCAUCCAGGUCAGAGCUGUGAUGUCUCCCGUGCACACAGAGUAGCAGCGCACAGAGCCCUGGGAUCCCCGGGAAGAGGAGCAUUAUUUGGUGACGGCUUAUUCUGCUGCUAAUGGAUUUUUUUUAACAAAGUGUGCGAUCGUUCCAAUGAGCCCCCCUGGCACUGCCUGCCCCUGGCUGGAUGAUUCAGAGAAUGGCGAUGGUCUGUGCAAUGUCUUGGGUCCUGUAUUUGUGGAUAAGUGCCUGUGUGCUGUUGCUCUGUCAAGGAUCUCUCCAUCAGCAGAGCUUUCAACAACAUCAUCUACACCGGCCAGUGUUUUCUUCAAGUCACUUUCCAAACUACAGAAAGCUGGGGGAGAUAGAAGGAGGAACGUGCGAAGUUAUAGCGGCACACAGAUGUUGCAAUAAGAAUCGAAUCGAGGAACGGUCGCAAACCGUGAAAUGUUCGUGUCUGCCGGGAAAGGUAGCCGGUACAACCAGGAAUAGACCCUCUUGUGUUGAUGCUUCAAUAGUUAUUGGAAAGUGGUGGUGUGAGAUGGAGCCAUGCUUAGAAGGGGAAGAGUGUAAGACCCUCCCAGACAACUCAGGAUGGAUGUGCGCUACUGGCAAUAAGAUAAAGACCACAAGAUUUCAGGGUCACUCAUGACCACCUUCAUGCAAGGCACGAUGGCAUCUGAGAGGCCCUGAAACAUAGUAGAUUCACCCAAGAUCCUAAUCUUUCUCUUGAUAGUCAUCACAAGGACCUGCUAAUGAGUGAAGGAGGCCAUAGACUUUCGUUCAACAGAAAAAACACACACUAAGGAUUUACAAGCCAAAUGUCUUCACUUGCACUUUUGACUUUUUAAUGGAAAACUCUUAGUGGUUUCACUAUGUGAAAUAAAAUCGUCGCGAGGAGCAAAAAUAUCAGACUACGCUUUGCCAAGAAGAGGGCAGAACAUUUUUGAAUCUUUUGUGUUGAAAAAGGAACCUUGUCACUAUGGAUUUGCAACUUUAUAUCAUCUAAAAAUCAUGUAUAUAUCUCAAGAACCCAUGACUGAUAAAUGAGUCUUUCCUUCCCUUUAAAGGGCCAGUAUCAUGUUUAUAUAGCUAAGGGAAAAACUGCCUGUACUGUACAAGAUCAUACUUUCCGUCAAAUACUGAGAAUCGUCAACCUAUAUUGGGAAUCGCGAUCUUCCUUUAAAUCCAGAUGAACAUGUUGAAAUAUGUUUUUGGUUUUUCUUUCUAUUGUGUUUCGGAGGCUUUUUAUCCAUGUGUGAUUAGAGCAUGCAGGCUUUGAUUAUGUAAACCUUUUUAUUACAAUGGUUGCUCUCGCAUCUUUCAAUGAAGUAUUUUUUACAGGAAGGUCAACAGAGAAGAGAAAACUUUUAAACAGGACACUCGGUAUAUGAGAAUUUCUAACAAGAGGUUCAUUGGGAUAUGUCAUCGCUGAUGGUAUAUAAAUGUAUUAUUACAGGUGUACAUAGAAUGUUGGCAGGAUUUGUAUAACCGGGGGCUGUCUGCAGUAAUCCCUAGUCAAUUCCACUGUUUUGCAAUUGCUUAUUCCUUCAACAGUAAAAGUCUCAAUAAACAUUAUUUUGUUUGAA